UGAUCUUUGUAUGGGAGUGCUAGCUCUAUGAUUUAAUCGGUUGGAGAUAUUGUACCCACACAGCUCAUUAACUACUGGACUGUUUAGUUAUAGGUCUUUUUUGUCAUAGUUAUAAAUUUCAUCCACAAGCGAGAUAAGAAUUAUAUGAUCAUA